GAGUGGCGACGGGUGAGUACACGUGGGUGAUCUGCCCUGCNCUCUGGGAUAAGCCUGGNNNNUGGGUCUAAUACCGGAUAUGACCAACUGUCGCAUGGUGGUUGGUGGAAAGCUUUUGCGGUGUGGGAUGGGCCCGCGGCCUAUCAGCUUGUUGGUGGGGUAAUGGCCUACCAAGGCGACGACGGGUAGCCGACCUGAGAGGGUGAUCGGCCACACUGGGACUGAGACACGGCCCAGACUCCUACGGGAGGCAGCAGUGGGGAAUAUUGCACAAUGGGCGCAAGCCUGAUGCAGCGACGCCGCGUGAGGGAUGACGGCCUUCGGGUUGUAAACCUCUUUCACCAGGGACGAAGCGUGAGUGACGGUACCUGGAGAAGAAGCACCGGCCAACUACGUGCCAGCAGCCGCGGUAAUACGUAGGGUGCGAGCGUUGUCCGGAAUUACUGGGCGUAAAGAGCUCGUANGCGGUUUGUCGCGUCGUCUGUGAAAUUCUGCAACUCAAUUGCAGGCGUGCAGGCGAUA
rnacentral:rRNA from 1 species